UUGUGGAGUGGUGGUGAGUUAGUGCAGUGUGGUGAGGUGGAAGGGAUUGGACGUUAGCUCUCUCUCUCUCGCUCUCUUUCUUUCUCUCUCUCUAUUUCUAUUUUCUUUUCCCUUAUUCUUCCUUUUAUAAUCUCUAACUCGACCUGUAUUUCUAGUUAUCUCUGUUUAUCUAUUUUCCCUUUCCAUCUCUUUCCUUCAUUUUCCUUCCUAUCCUUUCCUCUCCUUUCCUUUCCUUUUCUUUCCUUUCUUUUCUCUCCUUCCUUUCCUCUCCUUUCCUUUCUUUUCUCUCCUUUCCUUUCCUUUCCUCUCCUUUCUUUUCCUUUCUCUUCCUUUCCUUCCCUUUCCUCACCACCUCUCUCAUUCUCUCCCCUCCUCUUCCUCCUCCUCCUCCUCCUCCCACACCACACCUGGGCAUCAAUACAUCAACUCACAGUUUUGAGACGGAGUGGAAGAGGAAGAGGAAGAAUGAGAAGAAGAGGAGGAGAAAAAGAAAAGAAGAAGAAGAAGAAGAAGAAAAUGUCUAUUCCAUCAUCUUCCACCUCCUCCACCAUCUACACAAGGCCCCUCUCCAUCCACA